rnacentral:rRNA from 1 species
UACGUAGGCAGCAAGCGUUGUUCGGAGUUACUGGGCGUAAAGGGUGUGUAGGCGGUUCUUUAAGUUUGGUGUGAAAUCUCCCGGCUCAACCGGGAGGGUGCGCCGAAUACUGAGGGACUAGAGUGUGGGGAGAGGAAAGUGGAAUUCCUGGUGUAGCGGUGAAAUGCGUAGAUAUCAGGAGGAACACCGGUGGUGUAGACGGCUUUCUGGACCAUAACUGACGCUGAGACACGAAAGCGUGGGGAGCAAACAGG